rnacentral:rRNA from 1 species
UUUACGGGAGGCAGCAGUGGGGAAUCUUAGACAAUGGGCGCAAGCCUGAUCUAGCCAUGCCGCGUGAGUGACGAAGGUCUUAGGAUCGUAAAGCUCUUUCGCCAGAGAUGAUAAUGACAGUAUCUGGUAAAGAAACCCCGGCUAACUCCGUGCCAGCAGCCGCGGUAAU